rnacentral:rRNA from 1 species
UACGUAGGGGGCAAGCGUUGUCCGGAAUCAUUGGGCGUAAAGAGCGUGUAGGCGGCCCGGUAAGUCCGCUGUGAAAGUCCAGGGCUCAACCCUGGGAUGCCGGUGGAUACUGUCGGGCUCGAGUCCGGAAGAGGAGUGUGGAAUUCCUGGUGUAGCGGUGAAAUGCGGCAGAUAUCAGGAGGAACACCAAUGGCGAAGGCAGCACUCUGGGACGUGACUGACGCUGAGACGC